GUGGGGAAUCUUCCGCAAUGGGCGAAAGCCUGACGGAGCAACGCCGCGUGAGUGAAGACGGCCUUCGGGUUGUAAAGCUCUGUUAUAUGGGACGAACGGGUGUAUGGUCAAUACCCAUACGCCGUGACGGUACCGUAAGAGAAAGCCACGGCUAACUACGUGCCAGCAGCCGCGGUAAUACGUAGGUGGCAAGCGUUGUCCGGAAUCAUUGGGCGUAAAGGGCGCGCAGGCGGUUCGGUAAGUCGGUCUUAAAAGUGCGGGGCUUAACCCCGUGAUGGGAUUGAAACUGCCGGACUGGAGUGUCGGAGAGGAAAGCAGAAUUCCUAGUGUAGCGGUGAAAUGCGUAGAUAUUAGGAGGAAUACCAGUGGCGAAAGCGGCUUUCUGGACGACAACUGACGCUGAGGCGCGAAAGCCAGGGGAGCAAACGGGAUUAGAUACCCCGGUAGUCCUGGCCGUAAACGAUGGAUACUAGGUGUAGGAGGUAUCGACCCCUUCUGUGCCGGAGUUAACGCAAUAAGUAUCCCGCCUGGGGAGUACGGCCGCAAGGUUGAAAC
rnacentral:rRNA from 1 species